rfam:Camelus ferus unplaced genomic scaffold scaffold595, whole genome shotgun sequence.
CCAAAGGCUCUUUUAAGAGCCACUAACUUGUCAGUAUAAGAGCUGU